rnacentral:rRNA from 1 species
ACGUAGCGAAAUGCGAUACUUGGUGUGAAUUGCAGAAUCCAGNGAACCAUCGAGUCUUUGAACGCAAGUUGCGCCCGAAGCCUUCGGGCUAAGGGCACGUCUGCCUGGG